rnacentral:rRNA from 1 species
GAUGAACGCUCGCUACAGGCUUAACACAUGCAAGUCGAGGGGAAACGACAUCGAAAGCUUGCUUUUGAUGGGCGUCGACCGGCGCACGGGUGAGUAACGCGUAUCCAACCUGCCCAUCACUUGGGAAUAACCUUGCGAAAGUAAGACUAAUACCCAAUGACAUCCCACGAAGACAUCUGAAUGGGAUUAAAGAUUUAUCGGUGAUGGAUGGGGAUGCGUCUGAUUAGCUUGUUGGCGGGGUAACGGCCCACCAAGGCAACGAUCAGUAGGGGUUCUGAGAGGAAGGUCCCCCACAUUGGAACUGAGACACGGUCCAAACUCCUACGGGAGGCAGCAGUGAGGAAUAUUGGUCAAUGGGCGAGAGCCUGAACCAGCCAAGUAGCGUGCAGGAUGACGGCCCUAUGGGUUGUAAACUGCUUUUAUAAGGGAAUAAAGUGGGUCUCGUGAGACUUUUUGCAUGUACCUUAUGAAUAAGGACCGGCUAAGUCCGUG